UCCAUGCUUUGUCUGUAUUGAUUUGCUUA
rnacentral:piRNA from 1 species